rnacentral:lncRNA from 1 species
CUUUCUUGUGGGUUUGUUGUUUGGGGGUUUUGUUUGUUUGUUUUUACUCUCGUGGUGCUGGCGGUGGCUGCGGGGCCUGGUGGGUCACACGAGGCCGGCCCGGCGCCCCGGCCCCGACAGGCGCUGAGCCGUGGGGGCGCUCCCAGAGCCGGCUUGCCGAGUAACCAAAGCAGUACAUUUCUCGCUACGUCUAGAGAGCCGGCUCCCGUGGGGAAGUGACUCUCUUCUGCUCCGUUCCCGAAAAUGAAAUAUCCUAUCCCCCGAGAUUUCAGGAUUUUACACGUCUCUGUGAGCCGUUUAGGAUUAAAUAGGGAGUUCAGAGACUAUUUUUAAAAUGUGCAUGGCCUUCUGAAGGAGCUGAAGUUUUGUUCAGCAGCUCUCUUCAAGGGGACUCAAGAUCGUCCCGAGUUUCUUUACUGAACACGGUGAGUUCCUCAGAGACAGCAUUGCUGUAUCACCAGAAGACUACCGUUCUUAAGAACUGUAUUCCCUCUUAGAAAGGCUGCUUUGGCAGACUGAGGCACAUGACUGAGAUUUUUGCCCUGAUUGCAAAGAUGUUUUGCUGCCAGUGCUGCUGGAGAGCAAACAAAUAUUUGGCCCCAUGUUGACUGUUUUUCUAAGUGCAAGAACUUUUACAAGGAAAAAAAGAAGACCCUGAAGAAUGUAAUGCUACUUUAUGGAGGACAAAUCUUCCAUUUCUACCCUGACAUGAAACUCUUCAAGGUGAACAAAGAGGGAGACAUGUCUAGAAACGCACAAAGAAGCCGAGCUAAUUAAGAGAGCUCCCACUGCCUCCCUUCAUGAAAGCUGCUAUGCUUUUGAAACCCUGGAGAUGGUUUGACUGUGGAUUUGUGAGGUUAGGAAUACAGCUGGGAUGCUGAGACUGUGGGCUGGGUGGUAUGUAUAGAAUGUGUUUGAUCAGUUUCCCUGGUUGUAUUAGAAAGAGAUGGCAUAAAACAAAUGGGGUGGAAAUAGGCAGAAAGGAUGAGGAGCUCCCUCUGGAAUAGGUCUGAACUGAUUUAGAUUGUGGGAAUUCUGUGUGUGUGUGUGUGUGUGUGUGUGUGUGUGUACUAAAUGUAUUUUUCCUGGAGAUUUCAGUGAUAAUAUU